rnacentral:rRNA from 1 species
GGAUCUUCGGAUUCUAGUGGCGGACGGGUGAGUAACGCGUAAGAAUCUAACUUCAGGACGGGGACAACAGUUGGAAACGACUGCUAAUACCCGAUGUGCCGAAAGGUGAAACCUAAUUGGCCUGAAGAAGAGCUUGCGUCUGAUUAGCUAGUUGGUGGGGUAAAGGCCUACCAAGGCGACGAUCAGUAGCUGGUCUGAGAGGAUGAGCAGCCACACUGGGACUGAGACACGGCCCAGACUCCUACGGGAGGCAGCAGUGGGGAAUUUUCCGCAAUGGGCGAAAGCCUGACGGAGCAACGCCGCGUGAGGGAGGAAGGUCUUUGGAUUGUAAACCUCUUUUCUCAAGGAAGAAGUUCUGACGGUACUUGAGGAAUCAGCCUCGGCUAACUCCGUGCCAGCAGCCGCGGUAAUACGGGGGAGGCAAGCGUUAUCCGGAAUUAUUGGGCGUAAAGCGUCCGCAGGUGGUCAGCCAAGUCUGCCGUCAAAUCAGGUUGCUUAACGACCUAAAGGCGGUGGAAACUGGCAGACUAGAGAGCAGUAGGGGUAGCAGGAAUUCCCAGUGUAGCGGUGAAAUGCGUAGAGAUUGGGAAGAACAUCGGUGGCGAAAGCGUGCUACUGGGCUGUAUCUGACACUCANGGACNAAAGCUANGGGAGCGAANGGNAUUANAUACCCCUGUNNUCCUANCCGUAACGAUGGAUACUAGNNNUGGCUUGUAUCNACCCNAGCCGUGC